rnacentral:rRNA from 1 species
GACGAACGCUGGCGGCGUGCUUAACACAUGCAAGUCGAACGGAAAGGCCCUGCUUUUGUUGGGUGCUCGAGUGGCGAACGGGUGAGUGACACGUGAGUAACCUGCCCUUGACUUUGGGAUAACUUCAGGAAACUGGGGCUAAUACCGGAUAGGAGCUCCUGCUGCAUGGUGGGGGUUGGAAAGUUUCGGCGGUUGGGGAUGGACUCGCGGCUUAUCAGCUUGUUGGUGGGGUAGUGGCUGACCAAGGCUUUGACGGGUAGCCGGCCUGAGAGGGUGACCGGCCACAUUGGGACUGAGGUACGGCCCAGACGCCUACGGGAGGCAGCAGUGGGGAAUAUUGCACAAUGGGCGGAAGCCUGAUGCAGCAACGCCGCGUGCGGGAUGACGGCCUUCGGGUUGUAAACCGCUUUCGACUGUGACGAAGCGUGAGUGACGGUAAUGGGUAAAGAAGCACCGGCUAACUACGUG